rnacentral:lncRNA from 1 species
GAAUAUUUAAUGCGGAGCUGGAGCCCGUCGGGCCGAGGGGAGACCCGGCCCGCGCUCUGCGGCCGGGGCGUAGCUCUAGCUCAUCCCCCACCAGUUCAGCCACGCGUGUCGCGGGCUUCUCUGCAGCCUAGAUCUAGGCGACUGGUGUGGAUUGGUGUUGAUGAGAUGUGGCUUCCAGCGUUGCCCGACUCAGACCUGUUUCCAGUCUGGAUGGAGCGGACCGACUGUGUGGGAUGGGGUGAGAGGAACAAGUGAAACUCAACAGCUAAGGAGAAAAUGAAGAACUAGUGCUACGUUUUCCACGUUCUUUUUGCUCCGGGGUUGACAUGGCAUUUGGCCUUUCUACCUGGAGAAAAUCAAGAGUAUGUAACUUUCCCUGCAGAUGGUCUGUCUGUAAGAGCUGACACAGGAACCUUUGGGAGCCAGUAUCUAUUUUGUUUCCGACUGCAAAGUUCCAGCCAAUGAUUUGGAGGGGGGCCGGCACCUUCUGCUGGGAGCUAGUCUGGGAGGGAACAACUCAUUCCUGAGUUCUCUUUCGCAAACAUAUCUCUUGUCUAUUAAAAUAAUAGUAAUAAAAAUAAGAAUAAUAAUUAAAAGA